GUGCUUGCUUCAGCAGCACAUAUACUAAAAUUGGAAUGAUACAGAGAAGAUGAGCAUGGCCCCUGUACAAGGAUGACACAUAAAUUCAUGAAGCAAUCCAUAUUUUU
rnacentral:snRNA from 1 species